AGACCAAAGAGGGGGACCUUCGGGCCUCUUGCCAUCGGAUGUGCCCAGAUGGGAUUUAGCUAGUAGGUGGGUAACGGCUCACCUAGGCGACGAUCCCUAGCUGGUCUGAGAGGAUGACCAGCCACACUGGGACUGAGACACGGUCCAGACUCCUACGGGAGGCAGCAGUGGGGAAUAUUGCACAAUGGGCGCAAGCCUGAUGCAGCCAUGCCGCGUGUAUGAAGAAGGC
rnacentral:rRNA from 1 species